rnacentral:rRNA from 1 species
AGUGAACGCUGGCGGUAGGCCUAACACAUGCAAGUCGAACGGCAGCACAGUAAGAGCUUGCUCUUACGGGUGGCGAGUGGCGGACGGGUGAGGAAUACAUCGGAAUCUACUUUUUCGUGGGGGAUAACGUGGGGAAACUUACGCUAAUACCGCAUACGACCUACGGGUGAAAGCAGGGGAUCUUCGGACCUUGCGCGAUUGAAUGAGCCGAUGUCGGAUUAGCUGGUUGGCGGGGUAAAGGCCCACCAAGGCGACGAUCCGUAGCUGGUCUGAGAGGAUGAUCAGCCACACUGGAACUGAGACACGGUCCAGACUCCUACGGGAGGCAGCAGUGGGGAAUAUUGGACAAUGGGCGCAAGCCUGAUCCAGCCAUACCGCGUGGGUGAAGAAGGCCUUCGGGUUGUAAAGCCCUUUUGUUGGGAAAGAAAAGCAGCAGGUUAAUACCCCGCUGUUCUGACGGUACCCAAAGAAUAAGCACCGGCUAACUUCGUG